UACGUAGGGGGCGAGCGUUGUCCGGAAUUAUUGGGCGUAAAGGGCGCGUAGGCGGUCGUGCAAGUGGAAGGUGAAAUCCCUCGGCUCAACCGAGGAACUGCCUUUCAAACUGCAUGACUUGAGUCCGGGAGAGGUGAGUGGAAUUCCCAGUGUAGCGGUGAAAUGCGUAGAUAUGUGGAGGAACACCGAUGGCGAAGGCAGCCCCCUGGGUCAAGACUGACGCUCAUGCACGAAAGCGUGGGGAGCAAACAGG
rnacentral:rRNA from 1 species